AGAGUUUGAUCCUGGCUCAGAACGAACGCUGGCGGCAGGCCUAACACAUGCAAGUCGAACGAGAAGCCACCUUCGGGUGGUGGACAGUGGCAGACGGGUGAGUAACGCGUGGGAACGUGCCUUUCGGUUCGGAAUAACCCAGGGAAACUUGGGCUAAUACCGGAUACGCCCUUCGGGGGAAAGAUUCAUUGCCGAAAGAUCGGCCCGCGUCGGAUUAGCUAGUUGGUGGGGUAAUGGCUCACCAAGGCGACGAUCCGUAGCUGGUCUGAGAGGAUGACCAGCCACACUGGGACUGAGACACGGCCCAGACUCCUACGGGAGGCAGCAGUGGGGAAUAUUGGACAAUGGGCGAAAGCCUGAUCCAGCCAUGCCGCGUGGGUGAAGAAGGCCUUAGGGUUGUAAACCCCUUUCAGCGGGGAAGAUAAUGACGGUACCCGCAGAAGAAGUCCCGGCUAACUCCGUGCCAGCAGCCGCGGUAAUACGGAGGGGACUAGCGUUGUUCGGAAUUACUGGGCGUAAAGCGCACGUAGGCGGAUUUGUAAGUCAGGGGUGAAAUCCCGGGGCUCAACCUCGGAACUGCCUUUGAUACUGCAAAUCUCGAGUCCGGAAGAGGUGAGUGGAAUUCCUAGUGUAGAGGUGAAAUUCGUAGAUAUUAGGAAGAACACCAGUGGCGAAGGCGGCUCACUGGUCCGGUACUGACGCUGAGGUGCGAAAGCGUGGGGAGCAAAUAGGAUUAGAUACCCCCGUAGUCC
rnacentral:rRNA from 1 species